CUACGCUCGAGAAACGGCAAAAUCACAGACUCUGCCUGAAGCACUACACUGCGAAGCCGCUGUGGGAUCAGUCGACUCUUCUUCAAACCAAGUUAACUGAUUCAAAGAAAUGGCAGAAAACACAGGAAACACCAGUGGAACUAUAACUCCUCAACAAUAUGUCUAUCCCAAUGAAAGAGCAACAGAGUAUGAAAAAAAGAAAUUCAGAAAAGAAGCAAGAGCGCGCAGACCCGAACAGCUGUUUGUAAAUCAAAGAGCAUUGAAAGACGACAAAUACCAAUUUUAUACUAAAGAUCCAGAAAAAUGGAGAACCUGGAUAAAAGAGGAGUUUGGUGAUGAAACUGAGAAAAUAGUCACUUACAAAUAUGACACAGACAAAAGCACCAUAAUGUUACACAGCAAUGGAGAAUGUGUGAUACAUGUUUCAAAUGAGAAAAGGGGUGAAUUUCCCACAUGGUUCGGAGAAAAACUCAAAAGUAACGUAAAGCAAGAAGAUCCAAAAACAGAAGACCUAAAUGAAAAAAUGAAAGAGUUGACAUUAAAAAAGUAACAACAAAAAAACUACA